UCAGUCUCUGACCUUUGCUGUUGCUGUUACCUUUUCAUGAGGAGUCCACAUGUGGAAGGCAACACAACUGAGGCUGAAAAGGUUAUCCUGUUGCAUUGUAAACAACCACUGAACCUUCAGAAGAGAUUUCUCAUCUGGGCAGUUUUGCUGGCUAUGUGUCUUGGAUGAACUGUUUCUUCCGUACACCAUUGCUGACCAUAAAGGACAACAGCUCCAGGAAGAAGGGUGACUACAUAACAUGAAAGACAUGAUCACAGCAGCUGGAACACAGAAGACACCCGUAUUUAGUCCUGUUAUCAUCCAAGCUGGCCAGUUUAUUCCAGACUUUCCUUUGGUUCAUGGAGACUUCCCAAGUAUCCUUCUCAGCUCCCUCUUUCAGGCACUUGCAAAAGCCCAACAAACACUUGACACGUGAUUCUAGUUGCUUCGACUUGGCUUAUUGUUUUCCCAAGCCUUAUGGGAAAAAGAGCUAACUUGGUGAAGAUGUAACAGAAAAUUUUAAAUAGGUGAGUUCGUUUACCAUUCCAAUAAGGCAAUGUCUCGUACUUUGUCUUUUAAAAUGCUGGGUAUUGUAAUUAGAGUCCUUACUAAUCUAGAGAGAGAAUUUCCUAUUUGACUUCUAUUUAAAUAAUAGCAAUUCUUUCUAGGUGCAACAGCAGUGAGUGCCCAUCCACUCUGUGUGUCUACUUGACCUUGCUUGGGCGUUUCAGAGUGUGAAGGCUGGGGAAGCCGAACGCUGUAGCUGCUGCUGAUCUGUGUCUGAAUCCUGACGAUCAGAUCUCUGGAGCAGCGCGGCUGUGUGGAAGCAGCAGCAGCCUUCGGGAGAGGAGUACAAAACAUCUCCUGGGCAGGUUGAAGAUGCCCUGACAGGAGAGGCGCUGGGAGAGGGGCAGGAGCCCUAGAGGCGCCGGCACCGCGGAGGGGACGAGGCGCUUUUUUCCCGGCCGGUGGCGGCGGGGCGGCUCCGGACCCAGGAGGAGCGAGGGAAGGAGCGGCGGAGGAGCAUCCCGGCGCGGGCCGUCCCGUCCCUGCCCGGCUCCGUGCGCCCCAUCGCGGC